rnacentral:rRNA from 1 species
GAGUUUGAUCUUGGCUCAGAUUGAACGCUGGCGGAAUGCUUUACACAUGCAAGUCGAACGGCAGCACGGGGGCAACCCUGGUGGCGAGUGGCGAACGGGUGAGUAAUACAUCGGAACGUGCCCAGUCGUGGGGGAUAACGUAGCGAAAGCUACGCUAAUACCGCAUACGAACUCUGGUUGAAAGCGGGGGAUCGCAAGACCUCGCGCGAUUGGAGCGGCCGAUGGCAGAUUAGGUAGUUGGUGGGGUAAAGGCUCACCAAGCCGACGAUCUGUAGCUGGUCUGAGAGGACGACCAGCCACACUGGGACUGAGACACGGCCCAGACUCCUACGGGGA